CAGUCGACGAUGAUCCCAGCUUGCUGGGGGAUUAGUGGCGAACGGGUGAGUAACACGUGAGUAACCUGCCCUUGACUCUGGGAUAAGCCUGGGAAACUGGGUCUAAUACCGGAUAUGACUCCUCAUCGCAUGGUGGGGGGUGGAAAGCUUUUGUGGUUUUGGAUGGACUCGCGGCCUAUCAGCUUGUUGGUGGGGUAAUGGCCUACCAAGGCGACGACGGGUAGCCGGCCUGAGAGGGUGACCGGCCACACUGGGACUGAGACACGGCCCAGACUCCUACGGGAGGCAGCAGUGGGGAAUAUUGCACAAUGGGCGCAAGCCUGAUGCAGCGACGCCGCGUGAGGGAUGACGGCCUUCGGGUUGUAAACCUCUUUCAGUAGGGAAGAAGCGUAAGUGACGGUACCUGCAGAAGAAGCGCCGGCUAACUACGUGCCAGCAGCCGCGGUAAUACGUAGGGCGCAAGCGUUAUCCGGAAUUAUUGGGCGUAAAGAGCUCGUAGGCGGUUUGUCGCGUCUGCUGUGAAAGACCGGGGCUCAACUCCGGUUCUGCAGUGGGUACGGGCAGACUAGAGUGCAGUAGGGGAGACUGGAAUUCCUGGUGUAGCGGUGAAAUGCGCAGAUAUCAGGAGGAACACCGAUGGCGAAGGCAGGUCUCUGGGCUGUAACUGACGCUGAGGAGCGAAAGCAUGGGGAGCGAACAGGAUUAGAUACCCUGGUAGUCCAUGCCGUAAACGUUGGGCACUAGGUGUGGGGGACAUUCCACGUUUUCCGCGCCGUAGCUAACGCAU
rnacentral:rRNA from 1 species